rnacentral:rRNA from 1 species
AUUGAACGCUGGCGGCAGGCCUAACACAUGCAAGUCGAACGAGUGGCGGACGGGUGAGUAAUGUCUGGGAAACUGCCUGAUGGAGGGGGAUAACUACUGGAAACGGUAGCUAAUACCGCAUACCAUCGGAUGUGCCCAGAUGGGCUUAGCUAGGAUGGGGGGUAAAGGGUCACUUAGGCGACGAUCCCUAGCUGGUCUGAGAGGAUGACCAGCCACACGUGAACGGGGACACGGUCCAGACUCCGACGUGAGGCAGCAGUGGGGAAUAUUGCACAAUGGGCGCAAGCCUGAUGCAGCCAUGCCGCGUGUAUGAAGAAGGCCUUCGGGUUGUAAAGUACGUUCAGCGGGGAGGCGUUACCCGCAGAAGAAGCACCGGCUAACUCCGUGCCAGCAGCCGCGGUAAUAC